rnacentral:rRNA from 1 species
CCUACGGGAGGCAGCAGUGAGGAAUAUUGGUCAAUGGGCGAGAGCCUGAACCAGCCAAGUCGCGUGAGGGAGUACUGCCCUAUGGGUUGUAAACCUCUUUUGUCGGGGAGCAAAAGCCGGACGUGUCCGGCUGUGAGAGUACCCGAAGAAAAAGCAUCGGCUAACUCCGUGCCAGCAGCCGCGGUAAUACGGAGGAUGCGAGCGUUAUCCGGAUUUAUUGGGUUUAAAGGGUGCGCAGGCGGAUUUUUAAGUCAGCGGUAAAAUCGUGGGGCUCAACCCCAUCCAGCCGUUGAAACUGGGGAUCUAGAGUGUGCGAGAGGUAUGUGGAAUGCGUGGUGUAGCGGUGAAAUGCAUAGAUAUCACGCAGAACCCCGAUUGCGAAGGCAGCAUACCGGUGCACAACUGACGCUCAGGCACGAAAGCGUGGGUAUCGAACAGGAUUAGAUACCCGAGUAGUC